ACGAACGCUGGCGGCGUGCCUAAUACAUGCAAGUCGAGCGGAAUGAUGAAGAAGCUUGCUUCUUCUGAUUUUAGCGGCGGACGGGUGAGUAACACGUGGGCAACCUACCUUGUAGAUUGGGAUAACUCCGGGAAACCGGGGCUAAUACCGAAUAAUCCAUUUUGCUUCAUGGCGAGAUGUUGAAAGACGGUUUCGGCUGUCACUACAAGAUGGGCCCGCGGCGCAUUAGCUAGUUGGUAGGGUAAUGGCCUACCAAGGCGACGAUGCGUAGCCGACCUGAGAGGGUGAUCGGCCACACUGGGACUGAGACACGGCCCAGACUCCUACGGGAGGCAGCAGUAGGGAAUCUUCCACAAUGGACGAAAGUCUGAUGGAGCGACGCCGCGUGAGUGAAGAAGGUUUUCGGAUCGUAAAACUCUGUUGUAAGGGAAGAACACGUACGAGAGUAACUGCUCGUACCUUGACGGUACCUUAUUAGAAAGCCACGGCUAACUACGUG
rnacentral:rRNA from 1 species